rnacentral:rRNA from 1 species
UAUGUAGGUGGUUAAGUAAGCGUAGGGUUUAAGGCGACAGCCCAACUGUCGUAUGCCCCGCGAACUGUUUAACUUGAGUACAGGAGGGGAAAGCGGAAUUCCUAGUGUAGCGGUGAAAUGCGUAGAUAUUAGGAGGAACACCAGUGGCGAAGGCGGCCUUCUGGACUGUAACUGACACUGAGAUACGAAAGCGUGGGUAGCAAACA